rnacentral:rRNA from 1 species
UACGUAGGGUGCGAGCGUUGUCCGGAAUUACUGGGCGUAAAGAGCUCGUAGGCGGUUUGUCGCGUCGUCUGUGAAAACCCGCAGCUCAACUGCGGGCUUGCAGGCGAUACGGGCAGACUUGAGUACUGCAGGGGAGACUGGAAUUCCUGGUGUAGCGGUGAAAUGCGCAGAUAUCAGGAGGAACACCGGUGGCGAAGGCGGGUCUCUGGGCAGUUACUGACGCUGAGGAGCGAAAGCGUGGGUAGCAAACAGG